CAGUCCUUAAGUGUCCUAAAGUCUGUGAGAAGAUGAAACAGAGGAAAAGAGUGGAUGGAAAGAUCUUCUGGCCUGUGUACGACUUUACGGCGUGUAGAACAGGCAUGCACUGGCUAUCUGAGGAGAGGUUCCCAGCACUUCACUCAGAUAGCUUGUUGUCUCCUAGUUCAUAUGCACUGGUCCCAGAACAGCAGAAAAGCAGUGAAGCUUCUCUGCCCCUCAGGGUCACGUUCUCCUCACAGCUCUCAUUGGUGAUGAAAACACUCUGACAUUCCUGAUUCCUGGAAAAGUAAAAACAACCUCCAAAGCCAUGUGCCAUUGUGACAUUUAAGAAUAAGAGUGUGAAGGUGUGGUUAUCUCCAAUCACACCCUUCACAGCCUCCCUAGAAAGGUCCAUGCAGGGAAAGGAAAGUCAGGCAGAAAGUCGAACCUCAGAUACAGGAGGAACAACUAGAAGUCGUGCACUCCAAAAAUCUGGCAUUUAUGGAAGAGUGGCAAGAACAAAAGCUUGAUAUUUUUACAAAAAUAGGUAAAAUAGUUCAAAGCUCCAAUGUUGUUGUAUUUAACCUAGAAUUCUUGCACUUCAACAGGCAGCACUCUUUCAACUACUACAAGAGAAGCCACAGAAAGCACCCACACUUCCCCAAGGAUCAGCACAGAAGACAAGGUUCAAGGCAGCACUCUUUCAGCUACUACAAGUGAAGCCCCAGAAGGCACCCACACUUCCCCAAAGAUCAGCACAGAAGACAAGGUUCAAGGCAGCACUCUUCCAACUGCUACAAGUGAAGCACUAGAAGGCACUCACUCUUCCCCAAGGAUCAGCACAGAAGACAAGGUUCCAGCUUCCCUCCAUGUCAGUGAGGACCGUAUGAACUGGGAGAACGCUUUUUACUACUGUAAGAAAGAUAACAGGGCUGGUCUGCUGCACAUUCAUACUGAGUCUGACCACAAUGAGGUGAAGAACGAGCUCAGGAGGAGGGGUAUCUCUGGGACUUUG